rnacentral:rRNA from 1 species
GAUGAACGCUGGCGGCGUGCCUAAUACAUGCAAGUCGAGCGAACAGACGAGGAGCUUGCUCCUCUGACGUUAGCGGCGGACGGGUGAGUAACACGUGGAUAACCUACCUAUAAGACUGGGAUAACUUCGGGAAACCGGAGCUAAUACCGGAUAACAUGUUGAACCGCACGGUUCAACAGUGAAAGACGGUCUUGCUGUCACUUAUAGAUGGAUCCGCGCCGCAUUAGCUAGUUGGUAAGGUAACGGCUUACCAAGGCAACGAUGCGUAGCCGACCUGAGAGGGUGAUCGGCCACACUGGAACUGAGACACGGUCCAGACUCCUACGGGAGGCAGCAGUAGGGAAUCUUCCGCAAUGGGCGAAAGCCUGACGGAGCAACGCCGCGUGAGUGAAGAAGGUCUUCGGAUCGUAAAACUCUGUUAUUAGGGAAGAACAAAUGUGUAAGUAACUAUGCACGUCUUGACGGUACCUAAUCAGAAAGCCACGGCUAACUACGUG